rnacentral:lncRNA from 1 species
AGUGAGAAUCAGUGGGGGUGGAGUCCGGGACCUCUGUUUUAACAAGUUCUCCAGGUGACCCUUAUGCAUGCUAAAAUUUAGGAACCACACAUCUAGAGUAAGCAUGACACUAACUAAGACAGAAGGCAGCACCAGGAAUCUGGGAAUGUCACCAGGAUUUCAAAUAUCUGACCCAGGAACCAGAGUCUGAAGUUGGCACCAGAGAAACCACAAGGACCAACAAAAUAUGAGGCACGUAAGUGAGGCCAUCAACCACCAACUGACCAUCAAAACAUGAGUGAGCAAAGAUGACACCACAUGGAGCAGCAAUGAGCCAUUCCAGCUGAAUCCAGCCCCAAUUUAUCACCCACAGAAGUGUUCAUCCCAUUGUGGUCAGAGAAGAUGCUUGAUAUGAUUUUAAUCUUCUUAAGUUUGUUAAGACGUUUUAUGGCCUAAAAUAUGAUUUAUCCUGGAGAAUGUUCCACGUGUGCUUGAGAAGAAUGUGUAUUCUGCUAUUUUUGGAUGGAAUGUUCUGUAAAUGUCUGUUAAGUCCGACAUCUGUUCUAAUGUAUAGUUCAAGUCCACCAUUUCCUUGUUUAAUUUCUGUCUAGAUGAUCUAACCAAUGUUGAAAAUGGGGUAUUUAAG